AUGGAGAAGGCCACACAAACACAAGGGCAUCUGGGCAACGGAUCGGUGGAGAAGCCAUCGCUCACCUUCGAGUUGGUAUCGCAGUUUUUCUGCAUGCCGAUCCAUGAGGCGGCGCGGGAGCUCGGUGUGGGGAUGACGCUUCUGAAGAAGAGAUGCAGGGAGCUCGGGAUCCGCCGGUGGCCGGCGCGCAAGGUGAGAAGUCUACAGAAGGUCAUCGCUGAUGUUAAGGAGCUCGGGAAUGAAGGCACCCUGGAAAGGGCAGGGCAAACUAAGAUCCUGGUGCGGAAGUUGCAGCAGGAGAUGAAACUGAUUGUGGAGAGACCUGAUGUUCAGCUGGAUGAGAAGACGAAGGAGUUUAGGCAAGCAUGUUACAAGGAGAUGUAUUGCCGCCGAAGAAAGAGGAAACUCGGUAAGGUUCUUGAUUAA
rnacentral:rRNA from 1 species